GAUGAACGCUGGCGGCGUGCCUAAUACAUGCAAGUCGAGCGAACAGAUGAGGAGCUUGCUCCUCUGACGUUAGCGGCGGACGGGUGAGUAACACGUGGAUGACCUACCUAUAAGACUGGGAUAACUUCGGGAAACCGGAGCUAAUACCGGAUAAUAUAUUGAACCGCAUGGUUCAAUAGUGAAAGACGGUUUUGCUGUCACUUAUAGAUGGAUCCGCGCCGCAUUAGCUAGUUGGUAAGGUAACGGCUUACCAAGGCAACGAUGCGUAGCCGACCUGAGAGGGUGAUCGGCCACACUGGAACUGAGACACGUUCCAGACUCCUACGGGAGGCAGCAGUAGGGAAUCUUCCGCAAUGGGCGAAAGCCGGACGUAGCAACGCCGCGUGAGUGAUGAAGGUCUUCGGAUCGUAAAACUCUGUUAUUAGGGAAGAACAAAUGUGUAAGUAACUAUGCACGUCUUGACGGUACCUAAUCAGAAAGCCACGGCUAACUACGUG
rnacentral:rRNA from 1 species